UACGUAGGUGGCGAGCGUUGUCCGGAUUUAUUGGGCUUAAAGGGUGCGUAGGCGGUCCUAUAAGUCAGUGGUGAAAUAUCGCAGCUCAACUGUGAGGGUGCCAUUGAUACUGUAGGACUUGAGUGAAUUUGAGGUAGGCGGAAUUGACGGUGUAGCGGUGAAAUGCUUAGAUAUCGUCAAGAACACCGAUAGUGAAGACAGCUUACCAAGCUUCAACUGACGCUGAGGCACGAAAGUGUGGGGAGCAAACAGG
rnacentral:rRNA from 1 species